CUCCGGUUGAUCCUGCCGGACCCGACUGCUAUCGGAUUGAGAUUUAGCCAUGCGAGUCGAACGUUCCCCUGUUGCGGGGAGCGUGGCGUACGGCUCAGUAACACGUAGUCAACCUGCCCUGGAGACAAGGACAACCCCGGGAAACUGGGAUUAAUCCUUGAUAGGUCAUCUCAUCUGGAAGGAGAGAUGGCUUAAAGGGGUACGCGGGCUUCUUCCGCGAAUUCGCUCCAGGAUGGGACUGCGUCCGAUCAGGCUGUUGGCGGGGUAAUGGCCCACCAAACCUGUAACCGGUACGGGCCUUGAGAGAGGUGGCCCGGAGAUGGGCACUGAGAGAAGGGUCCAGGUCCUACGGGGCGCAGCAGGCGCGAAACCUUCGCAAUGCGCGAAAGCGUGACGAGGUUAAUCCGAGUGACUCCCGCUGAGGGGGUCUUUUGUCAGCUGUAAAUAGGCAGGCGAAUAAGGGGAGGGCAAGCCUGGUGUCAGCCGCCGCGGUAAUACCAGCUCCUCGAGUGGUCGGGGCGAUUAUUGGGCCUAAAGCAUCCGUAGCCGGUUCCGUAGGUCCUCUGUUAAAUCCAACCGCUCAACGGUUGACCUGCAGAGGAUACCGCGGGACUAGGAGGCGGGAGAGACGGACGGUACUCCGCGUGUAGGUGUAAAAUCCUUUGAUCCGCGGAAGACCACCAGUGGCGAAGGCGGUCCGCCAGAACGCGCUCGACGGUGAGGGAUGAAAGCUGGGGGAGCGAACCGGAUUAGAUACCCGGGUAGUCCCAGCCGUAAACGAUGCUAGCUAGAUGAUUCAUUCGCAAGUCGCGAAUGAAGUGUCGCGGGGAAGCCGUUAAGCUAGCCGCCUGGGGAGUACGGUCGCAAGACUGAAACUUAAAGGAUUGGCGGGGGAGCA
rnacentral:rRNA from 1 species